rnacentral:rRNA from 1 species
CAUUAUUGAAUGAACUUGGUCCAAGUUGUUGCUGGCUCCUUGGAGCAUAUAUGUGUGCACGCUUGGUACUCAUUCUAUUUACCCACCUGUGCACUCUUUUGUAGAGCCCUGAGAUAUUUAAUUAUUCAGGUGUUUCCUGAGUUGAAGGUUUGCUGUGCGAAAGUCAGCUUUCCUUUAUUNNNNNNNNNNNNAUCUCUGGGGAUUCUAUGUAUUCUUAUAUACUCCUAAUGAAUGUAACAGAAUGUUAUGUUGGUUUUAAAGAAACACAAUAUACAACUUUCAACAAUGGAUCUCUUGGCUCUCGCAUCGAUGAAGAACGCAGCGAAAUGCGAUAAGUAAUGUGAAUUGCAGAAUUCAGUGAAUCAUCGAAUCUUUGAACGCAUCUUGCGCCCCUUGGUAUUCCGAGGAGCAUGCCUGUUUGAGUGUCAUUAAAUUUCUCAAUCCUUCCUUUCGUUCUCAAUGAAUAAAAGAGGUUGGCAUUGGAAUGUGGAAGCUUGCAGGCUUUUUUAUUAUUAUAAUAAAGUCAGCUCUUCUAAAAAGCAUUAGCUAAAUGUUUUGAGAAUUAAACUAGCAUUGGUGUGAUAACUAUCUACGCCAUUUGUUAAAUCUCUUCAUAGUUUAGCUUCUAAUAUAACAUUGGUCUUU